UAAUCUAUCAUACAUGUACUAUUUUAUCUCCAAUCUGCGCAACCAUCCUGAUCAUAAUUGGUUCCUUAGUCACAAUGAUAAAAAAUCUGGUUUGCACACUUCUCUUUAUUACCAUGUUAUCUGCUCGGGACGGUAACGCUGGCACGGCAGUUUAUCCAUGUUCGGGGGAAGGAUAUUUCAAAAUUAACGGGGCUACCGACCGGGCUAAAUAUUGUCCUGGAACGAUGCCAUGUGACUACGUGUUUUGCUCGUACGACACAGCAUAUCGGAGAUACAGGCGGGUUUUUCACGUCUGUCCGUUGGACCGCCCAGUUCCCCCGGCAACGACGCCCACGGAUAACUACGAGUUUCACGAGACUAAUCACACCUGUGGUCGGCGACAUGUCAGUCACGUCAAUAGGCAGAAACUAGGGGCCCCGCGACAUUGAGGGCGCCCGUAGUGUUUUUGACUUAUUAAUUUUUUUAAAGUUAUUUUAUUAGGUAAAGGAACUCCUAAUAAACGAAAUUUAAUUGAUUUCAAACUGUUUUCAUUGUAAUUUUUCUUGUUUUUUAAAUUAACAUGUUUUUGUGUUAAGUUUCAAAUUUUACAUUUAAAUACUUAAAUUCGCUAGCAAAAUUUUAACACAAUUUGUGUAAAAAAUAAUUUUGAACAACAAUUUUUAGUAGUUUAAUAUUUGCUUCUGUAGUUCGUUUAGAAUUUUGGAACGCAAAAAAUUAUCUCAGCUACUAAAAUCUAACCAAAAUAUAUGCCCCGAUAAACAUGAAAUA